UUAUUGAUUGGAUGAGAAAAAAAAAAGGGUUUUUUUUUUUUUUUUUUUUUUUUCAAACAAAACCUGGGAAUUUAUUGGAAAC
rnacentral:ribozyme from 13 species